rnacentral:snRNA from 1 species
GGGAAUGAGGGCAAUCUGGCUAUAACAUCUGUCACUCCAAUAAUUGUUAUGGUUGAUGUAACUGAUCUACCUGGCUUGGGUCCCUUUCUUCCCUUGCUGUUCUUUGACACUUCCUCUGAAGUGUCAAACUCCGUGGAAGAGGGUGGCUACCUCAGACAAAAUCUCAAAGGCCAA